rnacentral:lncRNA from 1 species
AUGUGCAAAGGCAGGACUACAUCCCACCGUGAAAUGAGCUGUGGUAAAGCUCCCAGGAAUGCUUCCUCUGAAGGCCCCAGUGCUGCAGCAAGAGGAGCAGUACGCCCAGGCAUUGUCAUGGCUCCGGUUUGCUGGACUGUCAUCUUGCCCCUCAGCAGCAGCAAAAGCUUCCUGAUACAGUAUCAAAAAUUCACCCACCAAAAAUAACAAACCAAGCCAUCAGCGAAAACAAACAGACAAGAAAACAGCAUCCCUUCUGGUAAGUGUCUUGGGGCCCUUGUUCUGUUACACGAGUUGCUGGUGAGCAGUGCUCCCAUGACUCCUGGGACGGUUUCUUAGGCCCGGUGGGAAGGUGGCAGUGAGGUGGUGCUCGCAGCAGCAGACCUGGCAGCAAUACCAGCGCUGUCCUGGCCCUGCGAGGCCAGCGGAGCUGCCUGAGGCUGGCUGUGAAGCAGGGCAGAGUCCUCAGGUAGGCAGUGUGUUUCCUAGAGAGGGCAGAAGUAAAUUGCUUUAAGAAGCUGUGCCAAGUGCCGCUAGCAACAGCAUUCCACAGAUAAAGUGGUGAGAGCCAAAUUUAAAGAUGAAGUAGAUGCUUUGGACCCAUCUCUUACUUAAAAGUAAUGACCCAUCUGUGUCUUGGCAACACCUUGAUGAGCAUUUUGACCGGUUACAUGACGAAGAUGCUAACAGUAACAAAAACCAGCAGAAUCUCUUACAGCAGAGUACUGGAGAUAGUUUCUUUUGCUGUGUUCCCCCUUCAUUUUAAAUAUCACUCCCGUCCCGUCACACUAGAGAUGUCAAAAAAAUGACAGGCAGGAGUUGAAAAGAAAAUCUAAAGCCAGACUAGGAAUAAGUGUUAAUUAAAACAGGAUUUGGAAUAAUCAUGAAGUUCUCCUUUCAUAUCCGUUACGUCUAAAACUUCAUCUAAGACCCAUUUUGGUUUGAUUUACAUGGCUCCUCGUAAUGGUUCUGGUGGAUAUUGUGCUGUGAGAAAGUGUCUGAAAGGCAAUCUAUCUGCAAUAAGGCUUUGUCACUUGUCUUAAGUCACUGAGUGCUCUGCUGCACUGCCAUCGCUAUCCUGAGCUCACAAAUGUGACAUUAACAUAUGUAUGCUGAAAAUUAUGGCUUAUGACUUGGAAAUAAGCCAUAAUAAUAACUUGUCUGUGUUAUACAAUACCCAUCUAUUGACAGUCAGGGGAAUGAAAGCUACUGAUGCACCCCAAAAC